GUCUGAGAACCCAUUAGUGGAUGGACUACCUGAAGUCAAUGUUGGAUUCUUGGAUGAAGGCUCCAUCAAGGGUCAGACCAUGUGUCCACACCCAGUUUUCAGCUACUUUUUGGCCCUUCACAUACUUUUUCUUGCCAAAUGAAGCCUCUUCACCUCUCUAAAAGGCAGAUCCAUCCUCCUUCAUCAGGAUGAAUACUCCAUCAUGGGUUCAUUUAAUCAGUGACUCUCCCUUGCCUGCCCCUGUACUCCCCGAGGCUCCGUUCUUCAUGCUUUAUGAAACUUUCCUCAAACAGACUGGACCCUCUACCCCUGAGACACAGUGUACAUUAGCUGAGAGAUCAGACUCUCAGAUUCAGUGAUCAGCCCCAAGAAGGCCAUGUAAUGCUAAUCCCCUCUUCAAUAAGAGUUUGUCUCAGGAAAUAGAAUUAGAAACACAACAAGCAGAGAUUCGGGAUUUAAAAAGCAAUAAUAAAUUGCUUGAGGAUUCAGUAAAGGAGCUACAACUUGUGUUUGACACGUUGAAUUUGGAGAAAAAAAGACAUGUCUACAAUGCUUUCCUUACAUGAAAAAGAAAUUGAGGACCUUACUGAAGAAAAUGGAACCCUUAAAGGCAUCAACAAGGCUUUAGAACAAUAAAAAGUAGACUUACUAGAAACAAACAUACUUCUUUCUAAUAGUUUAAACGAAAGAGAAAAAGGCAUUUCUGAGUUGUCCAGAAGACAUAAGGAGGAAAGACUGUCACUCAUUGAAAGAUAUGAAGAAAUUGAAAAAGAACUUGUAGAUCUACACGGAAAAUACAAAUCAAUGGAAGAAAAAAGUGCCAACAUAGAAGGCAUUUUAAGACAGCAAAAAAGUCACUUUCAGGAGAGUAAAGCAGAAUCAGAACAAGAGAAAAAAAAAUACAGGGCCUGAUUUGACAGGUGUGCUCAGAUGCCACCAACUGGAUCAGGACUUUUAGAUGAGUUUACACAAAACAGCUGGGGAGAAAGAGGGACAGAGAGCAGCUCUCUUAUAACCUUUAGCCUAGUGGUUAGAGUACUCACCCAAGAUGUGGAAGACAACCCCCCACCCAUUCAAGUCCCCCAUCCCCAACCUCCUGAGGGGAAGCAGGGAUUUGUAUAGGGAUUUGCCACAUCUGAGGUGAGAACCCUAAACACUAUGAUAUGAAAUAUUCUGACAUGGGGCUCCCUCAGUCUCUUCUAUUGAAGUUUUUCAACUUAAAUUAAGUAAUUAUAUAUUAAUGGGGCUAGACAAAGUUAAAUGACACUAUACCUUAGUGAUUAGAGCACUCACCUGAGCGAUGUAGAUCCCUGUUAAAAUUCCUUCUCCUCAUCAGGCAGAGGAGGGACUUGAACUGGGGGUCUCCCACAUCCCAUAACCACUAAACUAAAGGUUAUAAAGGAAGGCUCCCUCCACCACCUGCAACUGUUGCGUUAACUCAACUAAUGGGCCCAAUCCUGUAAGCAGCCUCUGGGCAUGCCUACCUGAUCAGGCCCAGCAUGCAAUUUAGGUGGACAAAUGCCUGUCUUCCCUGGUUUGUGGAUCAGUCUGGAGCAUAGAUAGAAGAUAGCGUCUGGGCGCCUACAGUGAGGCAGCAGAGCACAUGCACACAGGCAGAAAUGUAGGCACCUAGGGUACUCCCUCUGCACAUGAUUCGGCACUGAAUUAGUUUAGGAACGUGCAGGGGUAAGCAGUAGUCAAAGGGGAGUUUUGUGGAUCUCAGUGGGGCCUAAAAAUGGAAUUUAGGCACCUAAGUACCUUUGUGGAUCCCACCUCUAACUCCCAUUGGUUGCAGUGGGAAUUAGAUGACAACAUUCAUUUGAGGAUCUGGGUCUUGGUCACUAAUUUUAUGCUCAUUCAUGUAGGGAAGAGUUUUAUUCUUUGGUUUAGUCAGAAAAGUUAUAAAACGAUAAAACAAAUCUGAAACAUGGCCUCAGACAGGCAAUGAAAAGUCAUUAGGGCAGGAUAUUGGAUAUUAAAUACCAUUUAGCUGCAGACUUGGCAAUACAAUUAAAGCCUUAAUUAACCAAAGUCACACACUUAUCACAGCACAUAACUGAAGUUCUCUUCUCUUGGUUGCUUCAUAAUCCUCAAGUGGCUCCUUCAGCCAUUUGCCUUUUUUAUGCAAGCAAAUGACAGCUCUGGAAGAAAAGAUCUCUUGACUCAGGUUAAGAUUAGUAAUGAAAUUGAGGGUUUUUCCUUGUGAAUCCUGAGUAGCUCUCCUUCAAGAAGAAGCAUUUCUUUUGCUGCCAUUUACUAAAUCCCUAUAAUCCUCUUUAUAUAGGACCACUUCAACAUCACUAUUGCCAAUUUCUCCCUUCCAUCUCUAUUCUGCAAAAGAAUCUUGAGAUUGCAGAAUCUAAAUGCUUGAUUAGUAACCAUUUGGAUUAACCCUUUUUCUUCUGUAAUCUCUAUUUCAGGAGAGAUGGAUUCGGGGUUAAGAUCCAGUCCCAGAAGCCCAGGGAUGCGAGUUAUAAUUCAGGCUUUGCAGUGUAACUGUGAGCAAGUUUAGCACUGUGUAUUUUACCUCAUUUUUUUCCCCAUCUUCAAAAGGAGGAUAUCAUAGAAAUUGCCAUAACAAAUCAAACCCACGAGCCACACAGUCCAGUGUCCUGUUCCCAUAGAGGCCAGUGUUAGCUGCUUCAGAGAAAGGUGCAACAAACCCAAAGAUGGACAGUUAUGGAGUAACCUGCCCAUAGGAAAGAGUUCUUCCUAACCCAGACAGCCAGUGGCUGGUUUAUGCCCUCCUGCAUGAAGGUUUACACCCUUGAUAACAUUUUUUCUAGCCUAUCUAAUCACUGUGAAUGUUGGCUUUAUUCUGUAUAAAAAGUGACUAAUCCUUAUGUUUAUGUUUUAAACAUGCUAAUAUCUUGGCCUGAGUGAUAUCUCAAUUGAAUCUCACUGUUAAACAUGUUAAUUAUGCAUCAUGUUUUACAAAAAAAAGUUUCCUUUUUAUCCAUUUUUUUAAA